AUCAGGAAAACAAGAAUUAAACUUGCAUCUACAACUCCCAAAGCUACUAUUUUUAAUAAACUAUCUCCUGA
rnacentral:tRNA from 1 species